rnacentral:rRNA from 1 species
CCUACGGGUGACAGCAGUGAGGAAUAUUGGUCAAUGGACGAGAGUCUGAACCAGCAAAGUAGCGUGAAGGAUGACUGCCCUAUGGGUGGAAAACUUCUUUUAUAGGGGAAUAAAACAGGGUAUGCAUACCCUCUUGUAUGUACCAUAUGAAUAAGGAUCGGCUAACUCCGUGCAAGCAGCCGCGGUAAUACGGAGGGUCCGAGCGUUAUACGGAUUUAUUGGGUUUAAAGGGAGCGUAGGGGGAUUGUUAAGUCAGUUGUGAAAGUUUGCGGCUCAACCAUAAAAUUGCAGUUGAAACUGUCAGUCUUGAGUACAGUAGAGGUGGGCGGAAUUCGUGGUGUAGCGGUGACAUGCUUAGAUAUCACGAAGAACUCCGAUUGCGAAGGCAGCUCACUGGACUGCAACUGACACUGAUGCUCGAAAGUGUGGGUAUCAAACAGGAUUAGCUACCCCUGUAGUC